AAGAAGUCAGGCCGGAUUAAGCCAUAGCACGGUAAGAGCUAUGCUGCCUGUGAGCCCCGUCUAAGGACGUAAAAUGAAGUCAGGCCGAAAGCCACGGCUUGAGCAAACCGUGCUGCCUGUAGCUCCAUCGUGGGGAUGUAAAAACCUGGGAGGCUGCAACCCAUGGAAGCUGUACGCAUGGGGUAGCAGACUAGUGGUUAGAGGAGACCCCUCCCGAAACAUAACGCAGCAGCGGGGCCCAACACCAGGGGAAGCUGUACCCUGGUGGUAAGGACUAGAGGUU
rnacentral:lncRNA from 1 species